rnacentral:rRNA from 1 species
ACGCACGCUGGCGGCGUGCUUCACCCGUGCAAGUCGCACGGAAAGGCCCUGCUUUUGUGGGGUGCUCGAGUGGCGAACGGGUGAGUAACACGUGAGUAACCUGCCCUUGACUUUGGGAUAACUUCAGGAAACUGGGGCUAAUACCGGAUAGGAGCUCCUGCUGCAUGGUGGGGGUUGGAAAGUUUCGGCGGUUGGGGAUGGACUCGCGGCUUAUCAGCUUGUUGGUGGGGUAGUGGCUUACCAAGGCUUUGACGGGUAGCCGGCCUGAGAGGGUGACCGGCCACAUUGGGACUGAGAUACGGCCCAGACUCCUACGGGAGGCAGCAGUGGGGAAUAUUGCACAAUGGGCGGAAGCCUGAUGCAGCAACGCCGCGUGCGGGAUGACGGCCUUCGGGUUGUAAACCGCUUUCGCCUGUGACGAAGCGUGAGUGACGGUAAUGGGUAAAGAAGCACCGGCUAACUACGUG